CGACGUCACGCAGUUGAAAUCGAGAGGUGAAGGUGUGAAUAAUGGAUAGGUGGCAUCCAUAUUGCAUUUUAAUAAAAAUCGAUCACCACCGGAGCUAGCAGCGCGACCGCCGAGCAACUAUCGUGAAAGUGAAGCAGUGCAGUGUUUCGACGUGUCAUCACCGUUGAUCGACAGCGAUUCGAGGCCGAGUUGCAGCGGCUCGCGAACGGCCAUUGCCACCGUGCGACUACGUGACGCGCACGCUCCGAGGACGCGAGCGAACUCUCGCAGACAUCCAACCGCCAGUGACCGCAGGCAAGCAAGAAAACAGUCAAUCAGUCAGUCAUUAAGUCAGUGUGAGCGUAGUCAUAGAAGAGAACUCCACGCCGCCAUGAACAACACCACGGGCCAAGUCCGCGGGCGGCGACGCAGCGCACGAGCUCCUCUCCCUGCGCUAGGCGUACGAAGAGACCGCGCCGUCCGCUGCGACCGCGAGGAGCGCUACGCCGCCAGCAAGUGGGGCGCAGCGCCCGCCGCGGCCGCGUUACCGCCGCCGCCCACUCAUUGGCGGCGGGAGGGCCGAUGUCGGCCGGAGCCCGAUCGUGCGCUACCGCUCAAGCUGCUUCUCAACGUGACGGCGUAGGCCACUCUAAGGACCCUAACUGCUAGUGUUAGUGCCGCGGGCGCGGCGCCGCCGGGCCUCAGCCUGGGGCGCCGCGUCCGCCUCUCUCGUGCUAAGUUUUUUAUUUUGUGAACGCGAGGCGCGUUGAAGAGUGCGACCGCGGCGCCGCUCUCGGCCGCUCGGCCGCGGGCUCCGUCGCGGCGCCCCUAAAUUCCGGCGUUAGGUAUUAUUUUGUGAAAAUUUUAGUAGAUAAGUGGAGCGCGGCGCCCGUCGUCCGGCGCCGGUCCGCACAUCUCUCCCGCUUCUAAAAUACGAGAAAAACACAAAAAAAAUCCGCGGGACAGUGUGGUGCCGGCGGCGGACACGAGCGCCGUGGAGCCCGGCGCGCCGCCCCUCGCCUGCGCCUCGGUUGGACGCGCGCUCUCGGCGGCACCCUGUUUUUUUUUAUUGUUUGCCCAUCCGCGGCGCCCGCGUCGACGCCGCGGCGCGCCCGGCGUGCGGCUCGGGCGUCGCGGCGGGCGGCCGCCCUGCGUUGUUAUUGUUGGAGAGCGUCGCAGUCCGAGCGCAGGCCCGCGGCGUGAGGGCCGCCGUGCCGGGCCCGGGGCCGGAGGCUCCGCUAGUCGUAUCGUUUAUUUAUCUGAGACCAAUGUAUUUUUAUUUGUAAGCGGCGCUCCGCCCCUCGCCGCGCCUGCCGUCCGUCGGCGCAGCUUUAACGACAGCGGCGGUGGCGGCGGGCGCCGUUCCUAAUUCUAGUAGUAGAUGUUAAAAUUGAACGAUACGGUGUCUUGCGACCGACUGUUGACAAUUGGGAGAAUUAUAUAUGUUUGUACGAUAGUGUAUUGAUCUCAGCUGCGGGUGUCUGCGGCCCGUUCCUCUAGGAGCUUCUGUGAUGUACAAAAAAAACGAGUAUAUUUGGAAUUUUACAAGUUUUUUAUAAUUAGUUUGUAAAGUACUUUUAAGUGAAGGUGGUGCGCGGCGGCGGCGCCGUCCGCCCGCCGGAGACAGCCCGCAGCAUAUUACCACCCCCGUUCCUCUUUCCCCACUCCCGUAUCCCCCCAGCUCCCCUCCUUGUUCCCGUCUUAUCCCAGGGCUCUUCGGAGCCCGCCAAAUGGUUCAUAAGUUUCUAAUCGACGUCAAUGUAUAACGCACACCUGUGUGCUGGGUAAAGCUAUCAUAGUAUAGCACUGCAAGAGCAGAAGAUGCAGCAAGUUCACCUUCAAGAUCUGAAGAGAAGAUAUCAAGCCCAUGUCAAGUGAAGUUGAACCAGCAAGCUAAUACUAAAACAUUGGAAACGCGAAGUUGCAAGACUGCAAGAGACCAAGAGCAAGAGAUGAAAGCAAGACUGGAAAGUUUUGAUCGGUCGCCAGUCAGGCGCCAUGCCUGCAUCAAAAUACCAUUACCGCCAGCCAGAACCUUCCUAGCAGUAGCGACAGAUGAACAUUUCCAAAAGGAAACCCACUACAACAUAGUUACUCAUAUGCAUAAAUAUGGGUUCCAAAUCGGUCUGAUGAUAAUUAGAUUCUAAAUAAAGCGAAGUCGGCAAGAACCGUAUUAUAAGGAU